GCUGCAGGAAUUCCCAAUACUAUCGGUACGGGUUGUGGGAGCAAGAGCCCGGAGAUGGAUUCUGAGACACGAAUCCAGGCCCUACGGGGCGCAGCAGGCGCGAAAACUUUACAAUGCAGGAAACUGUGAUAAGGGAACCCCGAGUGCCCGUAUGGACGGGCUGUUCAGGUGCUUAAAAACCACCUGGAGAAAGGGCCGGGCAAGACCGGUGCCAGCCGCCGCGGUAAUACCGGCGGCUCGAGUGGUGGCCACUAUUACUGGGCUUAAAGCGUCCGUAGCUUGGUCGUUAAGCCUCUGGGGAAAUCUUCCGGCUCAACCGGAAGGCGUCUCAGGGGAACUGGCGACCUAGGGAUCGGGAGAGGUGAGAGGUACUCUGGGGGUAGGAGUGAAAUCCUGUAAUCCUCAGGGGACCACCUGUGGCGAAGGCGUCUCACCAGAACGACUCCGACAGUGAGGGACGAAAGCUGGGGGAGCAAACCGGAUUAGAUACCCGGGUAGUCCCAGCCGUAAA
rnacentral:rRNA from 1 species